rnacentral:rRNA from 1 species
UAUUAGAGGCACCGCCUGCCCAGUGACAUAUGUUUAACGGCCGCGGUACCCUGACCGUGCAAAGGUAGCAUAAUCAUUUGUUCUCUAAUUAGGGACUUGCAUGAAAGGCUUAACGAGGAUUUUACUGUCUCCUACUUCCAAUCAAUGAAAUUGACCCCCCCGUGAAGAGGCAGGGAUGACCCUAUAAGACGAGAAGACCCUACGGAACUUUAAUUAACUAGCCUAAUCAUGACCCAUACAAACCUAAUCAGGAACAACUUUCCAUGACCUAGACUAGCAAUUUCGGUUGGGGCGACCUCGGAGUACAAAAAAUCCUCCGAAUGAUUAUGCACUCAGACUUUACUAGUCUACGUGUCUCAGUAUCAACUCAAUUGACCCAAAUAAUUGAUCAACGGAACAAGCUACCCUAGGGAUAACAGCGCAAUCCUAUUUCAGAGUCCAUAUCGACAAUAGGGUUUACGACCUCGAUGUUGGAUCAGGACAUCCUAGUAGUGUA